rnacentral:rRNA from 1 species
GCUAACUACGUGCCAGCAGCCGCGGUAAUACGUAGGGUGCAAGCGUUGUCCGGAAUUAUUGGGCGUAAAGAGCUCGUAGGCGGCUUGUCGCGUCUGCUGUGAAAUCCCGAGGCUUAACCUCGGGCCUGCAGUGGGUACGGGCAAGCUAGAGUGCGGUAGGGGAGAUUGGAAUUCCUGGUGUAGCGGUGGAAUGCGCAGAUAUCAGGAGGAACACCGAUGGCGAAGGCAGAUCUCUGGGCCGUAACUGACGCUGAGGAGCGAAAGCAUGGGGAGCGAACAGGAUUAGAUACCCUGGUAGUC